AGUGAACGCUGGCGGUAGGCCUAACACAUGCAAGUCGAACGGCAGCACAGUAAGAGCUUGCUCUUACGGGUGGCGAGUGGCGGACGGGUGAGGAAUACAUCGGAAUCUACUUUUUCGUGGGGGAUAACGUAGGGAAACUUACGCUAAUACCGCAUACGACCUACGGGUGAAAGCAGGGGAUCUUCGGACCUUGCGCGAUUGAAUGAGCCGAUGUCGGAUUAGCUAGUUGGCGGGGUAAAGGCCCACCAAGGCGACGAUCCGUAGCUGGUCUGAGAGGAUGUUCAGCCACACUGGAACUGAGACACGGUCCAGACUCCUACGGGAGGCAGCAGUGGGGAAUAUUGGACAAUGGGCGCAAGCCUGAUCCAGCCAUACCGCGUAGGUGAAGAAGGCCUUCGGGUUGUAAAGCCCUUUUGUUGGGAAAGAAAAGCAGCAGGUUAAUACCCCGCUGUUCUGACGGUACCCAAAGAAUAAGCACCGGCUAACUUCGUG
rnacentral:rRNA from 1 species